rnacentral:RNase_P_RNA from 1 species
UGAGUCGGCCAGGCGGUCGCGUCGGCCGUGUCCACCUUCGGGUGGGCCGGCUGCCGAGGAACGUCCGGGCUCCAGAGGGCAGGGUGGUGGCUAACGGCCACCCGGGGUGACCCGCGGGAAAGUGCCACAGAAAGCAGACCGCCCACGAACCACCGGCCGAUCGGCCGGCAGGCGCGGGUAAGGGUGAAACGGUGGUGUAAGAGACCACCAGCGCUCCAGGUGACUGGGGCGGCUAGGUAAACCCCACCCGGAGCAAGACCAGACAGCACGCGUUCGAGGGCGGCUCGCCCGAGCGUGCGGGUAGGUCGCUAGAGGUGCGCGGCGACGCGUACCCGAGAUGGAUGACCGCUCACGACAGAACCCGGCGUAUCGGCCGGCUCAUCCG